rnacentral:rRNA from 1 species
GCAGGCUGCAACUCGCCUGCAUGAAGUCGGAAUUGCUAGUAAUCGCGAAUCAGCAUGUCGCGGUGAAUACGUUCCCGGGCCUUGUACACACCGCCCGUCACACCAUGAGAGUUGGCAAUACCCAACGUACGUGAUCUAACCCGCAAGGGAGGAAGCGUCCUAAGGUAGGGUCAGCGAUUGGGGUGAAGUCGUAACAAGGUAGC